UACGUAGGGUGCAAGCGUUGUCCGGAAUUAUUGGGCGUAAAGAGCUCGUAGGCGGUUUGUCGCGUCCGCUGUGAAAAUCCAGGGCUUAACCCUGGACCUGCAGUGGGUACGGGCAGACUAGAGUGCGGUAGGGGAGAUCGGAAUUCCUGGUGUAGCGGUGGAAUGCGCAGAUAUCAGGAGGAACACCAGUGGCGAAGGCGGGUCUCUGGGCAGUAACUGACGCUGAGGAGCGAAAGCGUGGGGAGCGAACAGG
rnacentral:rRNA from 1 species